AGCGGUAAGGCCCUUUCGGGGGUACACGAGCGGCGAACGGGUGAGUAACACGUGGGUGACCUGCCCUCAGCUCUGGGAUAAGCCUGGGAAACUGGGUCUAAUACCGGAUAUGACCUGCUGUUGCAUGACAGUGGGUGGAAAGUUUUUUCGGCUGGGGAUGGGCCCGCGGCCUAUCAGCUUGUUGGUGGGGUGAUGGCCUACCAAGGCGACGACGGGUAGCCGGCCUGAGAGGGCGACCGGCCACACUGGGACUGAGAUACGGCCCAGACUCCUACGGGAGGCAGCAGUGGGGAAUAUUGCGCAAUGGGCGAAAGCCUGACGCAGCGACGCCGCGUGGGGGAUGACGGCCUUCGGGUUGUAAACCUCUUUCGACCGGGACGAAGCGUGAGUGACGGUACCGGUAGAAGAAGCACCGGCCAACUACGUGCCAGCAGCCGCGGG
rnacentral:rRNA from 1 species